UGGAAAUCCCCUGCCUGCACGGGUUCUGCGGCGAGGUGGGGAGAAGCUGAGGGUGUUCGGGCGAGGCGGGGAAAGGCUGAAGGCGUGCUCCGAAAGCAGCGCAGCAUCCCGCGACGCUUCCCGGUUGCAAAUGGCCUUCUCCUCCCCUGGGCUUUGAUGAACCUCGUGCCGCAGCGGUGCUCAGAAAUAGCGGGGAGUGGGAAAGGGUCGUCCGGCUGUAACAGCUGCCUGAUGUUGGCAUGGAGACCUCUCCUCUCCAGCUGCAAAGGGAAGCCGAGUUCAUGGGCUUAGAAGUGGCUUCUCCCACUGAGCGGAACACACUCCCGCAUUCCUGGGAGGAAUAUUAUUGGUUACUUUAAUUAGCUGGUAGCAUUGUGCUUCCCACCUGGGUGUUCUUUAUAGCUUUUCAUUACGGAGGAGCCUGGCGGUUGCGAAUGUUUACAUGUGUCUUGGCAGGUUUUUUAUGCCGUGCGUCGCAGCAAAAACUUUACAAUAAAGCAUUGUCUCCACGGA